rnacentral:rRNA from 1 species
GACGAACGCUGGCGGCGUGCUUAACACAUCCAAGUCGAACGGAAAGGCCCUUCUUUUUUGGUGUGCUCGAGUGGCGAACGGGUGAGUAACACGUGAGUAACCUGCCCUUGACUUUGUGAUAACUUCAGGAAACUGGGGCUAAUUCCUGAUAGGAGCUCCUGCUGCAUGGUGGGGGGUGGAAAGUUUCGGCGGUUGGGGAUGGACUCGGGGCUUAUCAGCUUGUUGGUGGGGUGGUGGCUUACCAAGGCUUUGACGGGUAGCCGGCCUGAGAGGGUGACCGGCCACAUUGGGACUGAGAUACGGCCCAGACUCCUACGGUAGGAAGCAGUGGGGAAUAUUGCACAAUGGGCGGAAGCCGGAAGCAGCAACGCCGCGUGCGGGAUGACGGCCUUUGGGUUGUAAACCGCUUUCGCCUGUGACGAAGCGUGAGUGACGGUAAUGGGUAAAGAAGCACCGGCUAACUACGUG